rnacentral:rRNA from 1 species
UACGAAGGGUGCAAGCGUUACUCGGAAUUACUGGGCGUAAAGGGUGCGUAGGUGGUCGUUUAAGUCCGUUGUGAAAUCCCUGGGCUCAACCUGGGAAUGGCAGUGGAUACUGGACGGCUAGAAUGCGGUAGAGGGUAGUGGAAUUCCCGGUGUAGCAGUGAAAUGCGUAGAGAUCGGGAGGAACACCGAUGGCGAAGGCAGCCCCCUGGGCUGACACUGACGCUCAGGCACGAAAGCGUGGGGAGCAAACAGG